rnacentral:rRNA from 1 species
AUACGUAGGUGGCAAGCGUUGUCCGGAUUUACUGGGUGUAAAGGGUGCGUAGGCGGGGCAGCAAGUUGGAUGUGAAAUCCUCGGGCUCAACUCGAGAACUGCAUUCAAAACUGUUGCUCUUGAGUGCAGUAGAGGCAAGCGGAAUUCCCGGUGUAGCGGUGAAAUGCGCAGAGAUCGGGAGGAACACCAGUGGCGAAGGCGGCUUGCUGGGCUGUUACUGACGCUGAGGCACGAAAGCAUGGGUAGCAAACAGGAUUAGAUACCCUGGUAGUCCACGCUGUAAACGAUGAAUACUAGGUGUGGGGGGACUGACCCCCUCCGUGCCGGAGUUAACACAUUAAGUAUUCCACCUGGGGAGUACGGCCGCAAGGUUGAAACUCAAAUGAAUUGACGGGG